CAGGAGAUCAUGACCUGAGCCGAAGUCGACGCUCAACCGACUGAGCCACCCAGGCGCCCCCAGGUUUUGCUCUUCUCAUGAAACAAGUUGGGGACUGUUACCCCUUUUUCUAUUAUCCGGAGGAGUUUGUGUAACAUUUUUCUUCUGUUCCCUGCGCAUGUGGUGAAAACUGCCAAUAAAGCCAUCUGUGCUUAGA